rnacentral:lncRNA from 1 species
AGUGUGAAUGGAGUAUGAAUGUGUGUGGUAGGCGACAGCUGUGUGUGUACGUCCGGGUGCGUGUGUGCGUGUGUACAUGUGAGCGUGUGUGCACGUGAGUUAGAGCCUGAGUGUCCCCUGCGUGGGUUAGUGUGUGCGCCCGCCCGGUGCCCUCCGUCUUGGGAGUCUGGGCUGCUGCUCCGCGGGCUCUGGAGCCGGCGCUCCCCACGAGCCCGGACUCUCCGCCGCGCCCGGGAGCUGCGCAAUCGGCUGCUAAGACGCCGGCGCCACCGGCUGGGCCCUGUUCUCCCCUCUCUUUUCUACAGUCUUACCCGCAGCUGACAGGGUUCGAAAGAGCAUGAAACGGAGGAGACGUUACAGCAACGUGUCAGCUGAAAUGAUGGGCGUAGACGCACGUCAGCGGCGGAAAUGGUUUCUAUCAAAAUGAAAGUGUUUAGAGAUUUUCCUCAAGUUUCAAAUGAGGCGAAUCCCGUUUUCCGCGAUGCUGCAGCGCGCGGGUUUUAACCGCAGGGUCACGCGGAACGCCGCGCCGCGCGACUGUGCCUCGGUCUCUGCGCCCGGCUCUCCCUCCGGUCCGCAAGAGGAGGAAGGCCCGCGGCGUGCCGAGGUCAGCGGCGCGGAGCCACCAGGCGAGACGGUCACGGACGCCUGAACCGAGGUCACCGAGGCCACGGGGCCGGGAGGCCCUCAGCAGAGCCCGGGGGCUCCG